AUAAAAAAAUUAUUCAUUUUUAUUAUUUAUUUAUUAUUAAUAUUUUGGUGAAUCGUUGAAUAAAAUCAACUGAAAGGGAAAUCAUUUCGCCCUUUUUUUUUAUUUAAUUACACGUCGUAAACCUAUACAACAAGAAUUAUUGACAAAAAUUCUUAUAUUCAAAUUGUUUUAACAAUGAAUUAAUAAUGAGAUGGACUAAGCAAUCUAAAGUGAAUAUUCAUUGAGACGAAGUAUGAUAUUAAGUGAAGGAAAGGGGAAUUUUAGGAAAAAGAUCUAAAAACAAAGAUCUUUUUCCCCUUACUCUUUAAUAUCAUCGUAAUGUUUUUGCUAUCACUCUAGAUCGUAUAUAGCAUAGUUGUAUAUUUAGAUUCCCCUAUUCUAUUCCGUAAGUUAAGUAAUUCUCUUAAGCCACCCACCAUAUACAUUUAUACAUUGCUGUGGGCUAAGCUAAAAAAGACUAUUUCAAUGAUGGCCCUCCAUGGAUUCACCUAUAUAAGCCGCGGCUAAAGUUGCAAAAAUAAGAGCUUGAAUACCACUUGUAAAUAAUCCAAGGAGCAUGACAGGUAUAGGAACUACUAAGGGUACUAAAGAAACAAGAACAACAACUACUAAUUCAUCAGCUAAGAUAUUCCCGAAAAGUCGAAAACUAAGUGAUAAAGGUUUUGUGAAAUCUUCUAAGAUGUUAAUGGGUAAAAGUAUUGGGGUUGGUUGAAUAUAUUUUCCGAAAUAACCUAAUCCCCUUUUUGUAAGACCCGCAUAGAAAUAUGCCACGGAUGUGAGUAAAGCCAAAGCAACAGUAGUAUUUAUAUCAUUCGUGGGUGCGGCUAACUCCCCAUGAGGUAAUUGUAUGAUUUUCCAAGGUAAAAGAGCUCCUGACCAAUUAGAAACAAAAAUAAAUAAAAACAUAGUGCCAAUAAAAGGAACCCAGGGCCCAUAUUCUUCUCCAAUUUGAGUUUUACUAACAUCUCGAAUGAAUUCAAGAACAUAUUCGAAGAAAUUCUGACCCCCGGUCGGAAUGGUUUGUGGGUUCCGAACAGCUAUAGUGGCUGAACCUAAUAAGAUAGCAAUUACAACCCACGAAGUAAUAAGUACUUGGCCAUGUACUUGGAAACCUCCUAUUUGCCAAUAGAAAUGUUGGCCUACUUCCACACCGGAUAUAUCGUAUAACCCCUUUAGAGUAUUGAUGGAACAUGAUAGAACAUUCAUAUUGCCUUGCCCUCUGAAAAAAUCGAACUUUAAACAAAAUUUUUUGAUUCAACCAUCUCUUUGUCUACUUGAAUCGGAUAUUUUGAAUACCAACUAAGAUUUAGAAUACUAAUAAAUCACAUAAUAUCCCCAGUUAUUUUGAUCUAUUUUUGGAAAUUCAGAAAUAGUAAGCGAUUCCAUAAGGGAUUUCUAGGGAUUUCUGAAGUAAGUUAUUUAUCUUAUUAUGUUAUUAUUAAUCAAGGAUUUCUUAUAUAGCUAGAACGACCCUCACAAAUUGCGAAUACUAAUUUGUUAAGAAUUAAUCGGAUUGAGGAUAUGGCGUCAUCAUUCGCUGGAAUUGAAAUAUCUGCGAGAUCGGGGUCACAAUUUGUAUCGGUUAAACAAAUUGUUGGAAUUCCUAAAGUAAUACACUCUCGCAGGGCCGUAUAUUCUUCGUGCUGAUCAACGAUGAUUACAAUAUCGGGUACCCCUGUCAUAUAUUUAAUACCGCCCAGAUAUGUUUGCAAGCGAGAUAAUUGUCUUUUCAACAUAGCUGCAUCUCUUUUCGGGAGACGGUUGAGUCUCCCUGUUUUUUGUUCCAUUCUCAAGUCCCUGAACUUAUGAAGUCUUGUUUCUGUAGUGGACCAAUUCGUUAACAUACCGCCAAGCCAUUUUUUAUUAACAUAAUGACACCGGGCCCUUAUUGCAGCCCACUCUACUGAAUCAGCUGCUUUAUUUUUGGUACCAACAAUUAAGAAUUGUUUUCCCCUACUUGCUGCGUCAAAAACUAAAUCACAAGCUUCUGAUAAAAAACGAGCAGUUCUAGUAAGAUUUGUAAUAUGAAUACCCUUACGCUUUGCAGAGAUAUAAGGCGCCAUUUUAGGAUUCCAUUUCCUAGUACCAUGACCAAAAUGAACUCCUGCCUCCAUCAUCUCUUCCAAAUUUAUGUUCCAAUAUCUUCUUGUCAUUUCUCCCCACAACCUCCCCCCCUUUUUUUAUUCUUUUUCAAAAAAAAAAAGAGACGAGGAACCCUGAACUGAAAUAAAUAAUUGUUCCGAUGGAACCUUCUCUUCUACUGUAGAUUGGACGUAGAUACACGACCCAAACCAUUAUUCUUUUCUAUUCAUUAUUCUUUUUAUUACCAAAGCAAAUAACCAUACCAAAUGCAGAUAGCGAAAGAGACGAAUCCGUUGUUAGGAAUCAUUAAAUCCUAUAAAUGAUUGUUCGGGUAUGUCGUGGAAUUUUUUUGAAAGACAAGAAUCAAAUAAUUUUCUGUGGUGGAACAAAAUAUCUCUCAUCUCCCCCUCGAAUAGAUUUGUUUUUUUUGUUUCCAAAGGAAUGUUGUUAUGUUGUUUUGAAGGGUGCACUAAUCCCUUGAAUCCGGUACCAACGGGUAUCACCCCCCCCAAAACAACGUUCUCUUUCAGGCCUUUCAACCAAUCGAUACGACCCCGGAGAGCCGCUUUUGCUAAAACUCGAGCAGUUUCUUGAAAACUUGCUUCAGAUAUGAAACUUUGAGUAUUGAGAGAUGCUCUUGUUAUUCCCAAUAAGACGACUCGGUAACAGAUCGCUUCUUCCAAAGCGCGCCCCAUUCGUUCUGCUCGCAACAAUCCAAUAAGUUCUCCGGGUGAAAAAACAUUAGACAUUCCAUCUUCUGAAAUCAACACUUUUGAUGUUAUUUGACGUACAAUAAUUUCUAUAUGCCUAUUAUGAAUCUGCACCCCCUGGGAGCGAUAAACCUGUUGGAUUUUAUUAACCAAAGAGAUUCGGCUUUGCGCUAUAGUUAGCUCAGCACCAAUCAAGAAUCCCCAAGGAAUUCCAAGAAUUCUUGGUAUACAUUUGUUCCAACCCUCAACCCUCUUUUCUAGAUUCAUGGAUAUUGAAUCAAUCGAACGCACUUCUAAGACCUGUUCUACUUUUGGAAGACCCUGUGUUAUAUCACCAGAUCUCGAUUUUUCAUAUAUAAAUGUAACUAAUGUAUCUCCUUCGUAAAGGGUUUCCCCAUAAUGGCCAUGAACAGUUGCUCCGGGGGUGGCCAAAUAAGGCUUAGCUGAUCGUAUCACUAUCGAGUCAACUUGAACAAGUAUAACUUGACCCGAUUUGAGGGGCGGUCCAUUUUUGGCUAUACAUACAUUUUCACAAAUAAACUGUCCAAGACUAAUUAUUUUAGAUGUCUCUGCACAAUAAUAGUGAUGGAGAAAAGACCAAUUCAAAUUGAAUGGAUUUAAAAUAAUGUUACGGCAUGGAUCGGGAUUAAAAAUUUUUCCAUUUUCAUCCAUUAAAUAAUAUUUUAAUUUAAUCACUUGAAAAGUCUGUUUUAAAUUGUCAAGUUGCAAAUAUUUAGUUACUAAGAUCUGAUUAUGAGUUAUUAAAUGGUAAGAUGAAUAAAAAUUCUCAAUUGGAAGGCAUGUUCCUAAAGGGCCCAAUGAAUUCCUAAUUGGAAUUAGGGGAUCUUUUUUAAUUGAUUCUUUUAUCACACUGUGAUAUUUUACAUCUUUGAAUGGCUCCAUUCGAGAACAAUUGGCUGCUGACAAAAUUAUCAACGACUGACAUUCCUUAUUUCUAUUCAACAACGUAUGAAUAGUUCCUUGAGGUUGGUUAAGAGAUUGUUGAAUUUUUGCCUUGGAAUAGGAAUAAAUAGCAGAAAAGGGAUUGAUAUUGGUACAAUCCGAUCCAUUAUCAGAGAGCAAUCCUGACCCCGACGGAUCAUUCCUUUUUCCGAUAUACGAAAUAGGGGAUUUCACUAAGUUGAUUUUUAGGAAAUGUCGAAUCAAACCAUUUGUCCUUAUUUCAACAAAAGAAGCACGGGCUUCUUCGCAAGAAGAACUUUUUUUGUCUUGGUUCCAAUUCAAUACUAAACAAGUCCGAACUAAUUGAAUACUUGUGUCAGAAAUUCCUCGAAUCGGUUUGCCAUUUCCAUAAAGGAUAUAAUUGACAAUUCGAAGUUGCACAUUAUCCCUUUCCUGCAAUGGAUCCGGUGGAAAAAGGGUUCCUAAAUUUAUACCGUCCGUUAUUUCAUAUGUGACGACAGGUCGAACUAAAACAAAAAACCUUUUCUUACUAGGUGUAAUUCGUUGGACAUAGAUCCAAUUUUGAACUUUUUUGUAUUCCUUGGAAUUUCUUUUUCCUGUUCCUGGUGGUAUCAAAACGCCGGUAUGCCUGGAUAUCUUAUCCGUCUCUCCAGGAAAAUGGAUAUCUCCAGAAAAGAUUUUCAGUUCAAUUCGUUUUUUUUUUCUCUCCACCCGGACCAACCCACCGACUCGGCUUCUUAGAUUUAAGGUGAUUUGUGUAUCGACCCCAACGAUACUAUUGUUCCGUACCAUUAGGGAAGAAGAUCCGGGCAAGAUAUGCACCUCUUCAGGAAUGAAAAAAAAUCGAUCUACUUUCAUUUGGUAUUUUGGCCUAAAUUCCUUGACUCCUCGAUACUCAAUCAAAUCCUCUUUUUUGAUGACUGAAUGCGUUUCUAUAGUCCCAUAUUUAAUAAUGCCCGAACUCUUUCUUCUGUAUCGAGGAUCAUCGAAAUAAGCAAGAAUACUAUUUCGACGGAAAAUACCAUUUACGGGGAUUUCAAUCGAGAUACCUGAACAGGGCAUUAGUUCAUUCUCGAGUUCUUGAAUCGAGUGUAGUGGAAUGAUGAAUUUAUUUCUUCGCCUUUUUGACAAUAAAGCAGAAUUCCCGUGAAGAAUAGGCGAAUAUACGAGAUUAUACUGGCCAGUACAUAUGAUUCGAUUAAGGUCUGAAUAAUCAGGAAUCCUAUCUUCUUUUUGACCAUAAAAAUCCGAACUAAACAAUUUCUGCCUCGCCUGAUCAUUGGUUACUGAGAGGUUAGAAGUAUAUCUUCGCUUGCCAGAAAGAGAAUGCGCAUUCAUUUGAUCCUGAUCCUUGUGGAUCGAAAGGUAGACUAGACUGGACCUGCACGGCCCUCCUAAUAAUAUCCAUAAAUGACUUGUUUUUGGUAAUAGAUGAACAUUACCAUAUGUAAAUUCGGGUGCAUGAUAGACAUCGGUACUCCAGUGCAUUUCUCCGUCUGAAUCAGAAUAAAUAUGUUUUCGAACCUUCUCUUUAAAAUUCAAAGUGGAUAUUCCUGCGCGAAUCUCAGCAAUUACUUGUUCUGAUUCUACGUAUUGAUCGUUUUGAACUAAAAGCAAACUUUUGGGUGGAAUAUUCACAUUAUGUAGAAUAUCUUCACUCUCAAUAGUUACAUACAAGUCUAUAGAACAUAGAAAGGCGGGAUGCCCAUGACGUGUACGUGUCGGAUGAACCAAGUCCUCAUUGAAUUUUAUUUUUCCAUUAGAUGGGGCUCGCACAUGUUCUGCAGUACCCCCCGUGAAUACUCCUCCGGUAUGAAAAGUUCGUAAUGUUAAUUGAGUACCCGGUUCUCCAAUCGAUUGACCUGCAAUAAUACCUACAGCUUCCCCCAAUUCAACCAGGUCGCCAUGAGUAGGACUACGCCCAUAACAUAAUCGACAAAUCCAAGAUGUACUCCUACAAGUAAAGGGAGUUCGAAUAGAGAUUGGUUGUGCCCGAAAGGUUAUGAAUCGAUUUACAAGUCCAAUGCCAAUGGCUUGGUUUCUAGUGGCAAUACAUCGUGAACCCAUGUAUAUAUCAUCUGCUAAUACACGGCCAAUUAAUGUUUGACUAAAAAUCCUUUCCGGCAUUAUCCCAUUCCGAGGACUCACAGAAAUACCCCGGGCGGUGCCACAAUCCGUUCGACGUACAACAAUGUGUUGAACUACUUCAACAAGUCUGCGAGUGAGAUAUCCAGCGUCUGAUGUUCGUACAGCAGUAUCCACAACUCCUUUACGGGCUCCGUAGCAAGAAAUGAUGUAUUCUGUUAAAGAGAGUCCUUCGCGUAAAUUGCUUUGAAUAGGUAAAUCAAUCAUUUGUCCUUGAGGAUCCGACAUUAAUCCUCUCAUACCUACUAAUUGAUGUACCUGAGAUGCAUUUCCUCGAGCUCCCGAGAAAGACAUUAUAUGAACUGGAUUAAAAGGGUCAGUCAUCCUAAAAUUCGGAUUCAUUUCUUGGCGCAAAUAUUCACUUGUAGCAUACCAUAUUUCAAUGGAUUGACGUAAUUUUUCUACCGCGUGUACAUUUCCAUACUGAUGGUGUUUUUCCAAAAUCAAACUUUGUUGUUCAGCAUCUUGAACUAGCCAUCCCUUAGAAGGUAUUGUUAAAAGAUCAUCAAUUCCUAAUGAAAUGGAUGUAGCAGUAGCUUGUUGGAACCCCAGAGUUUUUACUUGAUCCAGGAUAUGUGAUGUAUAUGCCAUUCCGAAGUGCUCUAUUAAUCUACUAAUAAGUCGUUUCAUGGCAGUUCCGUCUAUCGCUUUAUUGUGAAAGACCAGAUUGGCCCGUUCUGCCAUAAGUACCUCCAUAUUCCGCUGAGUAGGAUUCGACAAUGGGUUUGAGUCGGUGAUUGUAAAACUUCCUUUUAUCGAUCUUGAUUCGCGUAUAAAUUCCGGAACUAUGGACCUAGCUGAACCGGAGAGCCCCGAAGUCCCACGGUAUCAUAGAAUUAGGUAGCAUAUGAAUAGGCCCGAGAAAACCCCUGUAUAGCUUCUUCGAUUUCUCGAUAAAGAGCAAUAUGACCAACAGUGGUUCGAAUGUAUAUAAAAAGUAUUUUUUUUUUUAGACUUCUUACUAUUAGAUAGUGUCCAUAAAUCUCAUAAAAAGUACCUAAAGAUUCAUAGUGAACUUCGAUGGGAGUUUCUCUUGAAGCAAUAACGCGUUGAUCUAGUCGCCACCGGAGCCACAAAGGACUAUCUAAAUUGAUUCGUUUCUGCCGAUAAGCCCCAAUUGCAUCAUAGGAAUUCGAAAAAAAGGGUUCUUUCGUAUACUUAUAGUAACUAUUGUCACUUCUUUUUUGAUUUUGAUAGUUUCUGCGAUUACAUGGAUUAUAUCUAUUUACACAAAUACCUCGAUGAUUUCCGCUCGUUAAUACAUAGAGUCCAAUAAGCAUAUCUUGCGUUGGCACGGAAAUGGGAUCCCCAAUAGCCGGAGACAAAAGAUUCAUAUGAGAAAACAUAAGUAAACGGGCCUCUACUUGAGCCUCCAAGGAUAAAGGUACAUGAACAGCCAUUUGAUCUCCAUCAAAAUCGGCAUUGAAUCCCUUGCAAACUAAUGGAUGUAAACAAAUAGCGCGCCCCUCCACUAAAACGGGCUGGAAUGCCUGUAUGCCUAAUCUAUGCAGCGUAGGUGCUCUAUUCAGCAAUACAGGGUGUCCCUGCAUAACUUCUUGAAGGAUUUCCCAUACAAUCGGCUCUUUUUCUCGAAUUUUACUCUUAGCAACUCCUAUGUUCGAAGCAAGAUGUUGUCUAA
rnacentral:lncRNA from 1 species